CCUACGGGAGGCAGCAGUGAGGAAUAUUGGUCAAUGGCCGGAAGGCUGAACCAGCCAUGCCGCGUGAAGGUCAGUGCCCUAUGGGCGUUAAACUUCUUUUGUGCGGGAGCAAUAAUGGUCACGUGUGGCCAGACGAGAGUACCGUACGAAUAAGCAUCGGCUAACUCCGUGCCAGCAGCCGCGGUAAUACGGGGGAUGCAAGCGUUAUCCGGAUUUAAUGGGUUUAAAGGGUGCGUAGGCUGUGAGUUAAGUCAGCGGUGAAAUGCCCCCGCUCCACGGGGGGAAGUGCCAUUGAUACUGCCUGGCUGGAGUGCGGAUGCGGUGGGAGGAAUGUGUGGUGUAGCGGUGAAAUGCAUAGAUAUCACACAGAACACCGAUUGCGAAGGCAGCUCACGAAUCCGCGAUUGACGCUGAUGCACGAAAGCGUGGGUAUCAAACAGGAUUAGAUACCCGAGUAGUC
rnacentral:rRNA from 1 species